UGAGCAAUCUGCCCUUCUCUUCGGAAUAAGCGUUGGAAACGACGUCUAAUGCCGAAUACGACCUCCUUUCGCAUGAUCGGAGGUGGAAAGCUCCGGCGGAGAAGGAUGAGCUCGCGGCCUAUCAGCUUGUUGGUGUGGGUAAUGGCCCACCAAGGCGACGACGGGUAGCCGGCCUGAGAGGGUGACCGGCCACACGUGGGACUGAGACACGGCCCAGACCUCCGUACGGGGAGG
rnacentral:rRNA from 1 species